GGUUAAGCGACUAAGCGUACACGGUGGAUGCCCUGGCAGUCAGAGGCGAUGAAGGGCGUGCUAAUCUGCGAUAAGCGCCGGUAAGGUGAUAUGAACCGUUAUAACCGGCGAUACCCGAAUGGGGAAACCCAGUGUGAYUCGUCACACUAUCAUUAACUGAAUCCAUAGGUUAAUGAGGCGAACCGGGGGAACUGAAACAUCUAAGUACCCCGAGGAAAAGAAAUCAACCGAGAUUCCCCCAGUAGCGGCGAGCGAACGGGGAGGAGCCCAGAGCCUGAAUCAGCAUGUGUGUUAGUGGAAGCGUCUGGAAAGGCGCGCGAUACAGGGUGACAGCCCCGUACACAAAAGCGCAUGUGCUGUGAGCUCGAUGAG
rnacentral:rRNA from 1 species